rnacentral:rRNA from 1 species
CCUACGGGUGGCUGCAGUGGGGAAUAUUGGGCAAUGGAGGAAACUCUGACCCAGCAAUGCCGCGUGAAUGAAGAAGGUCUUCGGAUUGUAAAGUUCUUUAGUCAGGGAAGAAUAAAAUGACGGUACCUGAAGAAUAAGCUCCGGCUAACUACGUGCCAGCAGCCGCGGUAAUACGUAGGGAGCAAGCGUUGUUCGGAAUGACUGGGCGUAAGGGGUGCGUAGGCGGUUUUACAAGUUAGAAGUUAAAUACCCAGGGCUUAACUCGGGUGCGGCUUCUAAUACUGUAAGACUUGAGUGCAGUAGAGGGUAGCGGAAUUACUGGUGUAGCAGUGAAAUGCGUAGAUAUCGGGAGGAACACUAGAGGCGAAGGCGGGUACCUGGACGUUAACUGACGCUGAGGCACGAAUGCCAGGGGAGCGAACGGGAUUAGAUACCCGGGUAGUC